rnacentral:rRNA from 1 species
GAAUAUUGGACAAUGGGCGAAAGCCUGAUCCAGCAAUGCCGCGUGAGUGAUGAAGGCCUUAGGGUUGUAAAGCUCUUUUACCAGGGAUGAUAAUGACAGUACCUGGAGAAUAAGCUCCGGCUAACUCCGUGCCAGCAGCCGCGGUAAUACGGGGGGGGCUAGCGUUGUUCGGAAUUACUGGGCGUAAAGGGCUCGUAGGUGGCCAACUAAGUCAUGCGUGAAAUCCCUCGGCUUAACCGGGGAACUGCGUCUGAUACUGGAUGGCUUGAAUCCGGGAGAGGGAUGCGGAAUUCCAGGUGUAGCGGUGAAAUGCGUAGAUAUCUGGAGGAACACCGGUGGCGAAGGCGGCAUCCUGGACCGGCAUUGACACUGAGGAGCGAAAGCCAGGGGAGCAAACGGG